rnacentral:lncRNA from 1 species
AACUCUACAAGUUUUUUACAGGUUAUCAUAAGAGGGUAUCUUAUCUAUAUUGGUAUAUCACCACAUUGAAAUGUUUUAAGUAGCUUCGUAGAUGAGGCCCGAUCAAGCAUCAGUUUAAAGAUAUAUGUUAUUAUACUUAUUAUUAUUCUUCCUACGAUAAACUAGAGAGAAUCCAUUCAUUGUUUAACAUUUCAUAAAAUUUUACUCUUAAUAUAUAUAAUAUAUAUAUAUAUAUAUAUUUAUUAUAUUAUAUUAUAUAUUAUAUAUUAUAUUAUAUAAUAAAAAUAUAGUUAUAAUCGACAAUGUAAAAUUAGCUUUACAUUUUCAAUUUAUGACAUUCAAACAUCUUAAUCUCGUUUGCCUUUGUGUUAUCUUUCGUGUGGAUGUGGAAAAAAACACGUGAUACGGGAGCCACUCAAAUGGGUCUACCCAAAUCUCACAACAGAAGGCGGAUAUCGGAUACAAACCUACAAAUUCAAAGCACCCUCGUUACGAAUAUCGAUGCCAACGGUACUUCUUGGCCUCGCACCAACGUGACAGGCCUAUUUAUUAUGAGAUCUCUGCUUACACGAUGAUGAGAAAAUGUGGAUGUACUUCUUCCAGAAUUGUCUUAUCUUUGACGGGCUUCUUGACUUGGUACAUGACUAGAGAGACUCUAUCCGAUGUUGGAAAUUUAUCUGGCGUCGGGGGCCUUCUUGCAGGCCAGUAUAAAAACAACAUGGACAUGGCGCUGAGCCGGACUCAGUUGAGAUCUUUGUUCAGGAAAUUCUGGGGAAGAGCUUCAGGAGUAGCCAGAGUGGCGGUUGAAUUGGCUGCAAGAGUACAACCCCUAUGUGGAAGGGAAGCUAAGUAAUAUGUUUAUCGCUACAAACUGCAGGGUUUGUUUUCCUCACCGGUAAAGGGAGUGCCAUUCGCAGUUUCUCUAACACGUAAUGUCGAUAUAGUAGGAUAGGGACAGAGAGUUGAUCAAAAGCUGGUAAAAUUCAGGAGAAACAUGCAGAGGUCCUCGUCUUCGAAGAAACCAUUGUUGGGGGCACCUCGUAGGAGAGAGGGUGAAACCAAAGUGCUGGUGCAACAUGUAGAAGGAUAAACAGAUCAGGUACGCGCAGGUUGUGCUGUGACAAUUCCAGCACCUCAACCUCUCAACCCGAAUCGAGGCGAACACGAGGCGUUCAAACAACAACCGCCACAACAACAACANAUAUAUAUAUAUAUAUAUAUAUAUAUAUAUAUAUAUAUAAUAAGAAAAUGAAUGGUAUAUCGACAAUGUAAAUUAGCUUUACAUUUUCAAUUAAUAAUGAUCAUUUAACCCGCCACCUAUCUCGUUUGCUCCUUGAUGUUACCACCUUUCUUAACCUCCCUGUCUGUCAUGUCAAUAGAUCGAAAGGAAUAAUUUUAUUUUUAUAAUCUUUGAUUUCUUUAACAUAUCAAUUGGUGUGGAAUUAGAUCUUAAUUCAUAUUGAUCAAUUCGCAAGACCUAACUACUUAGAAUGUGUUCCUCAACACUUUGGUCAAUCUAAAACUCAUAAAUAAAGUGUGAGUUUCUUCUUCCUCCUCCAUUUGACCGUUUCAACUCCUUCUUUUUUUUAAUAAUAUUAAUGUUAUGUUUGGUCGUUCAAGGAAUGAUAGUUGAAGAAUUGAGUUUUUGCAGUAAGAAACACCUUUUAGCAUUUUCUAUUUAUUGAAGUAACAAUUCUCUUUCAAUUUCAUUAUGCAUUAUUAUGCCUUUUAUAUUUACCCUAUUUUAUUAGUUUUUGGCAUAAACUCAAGCAAAUUAAUUUUCCUACGUGUGUAGAAAGUAUUGGUUGAAUGCUGAAGUUAACAAUAUUCAAUGUGUGUAGCAAGUAUGAGUUAUAUGUGCAAGUCACAUUCUUUAUAUUAUAGCUUGCAAAGUGUUAUUAGGUUACAUCACCAUUUGAGAAAUUAAGUGUAGUGUUUGUAGACUUUAGCAUCCUUUUGAGUAGUUGUUUGGUGUUAAUCCUGCAUGCGUCUCAAUACAUGGCAUGUGUGAGCUUUAUGUUUGAAUUAUGGACAAAAUCAUUUUGCAGGAAAGAGAAGAAAAGUUUAGAGGAAUAUGGCCAAUACUUCUAGGUGCCCAAUCCCUUAGAGUCUUAUUUCUGUAUUUUGUAUAUCAUUGUCCUGUAUUCCAUGAAGUUGAUUAGAAAAAAAGUGAAAUAUAUUGGCAUUCUACUUAUCUAUUGUUAGCUAAAACAAUUUCACUGUUAUCAAGAAGUGGAAUGGUUUAUAUAUGAUCCAUGUGAUAUUGGCUUUUGUAAUAUUCUAUUAACAAUAUUUAAUAUUAUUGUGCUAUUUAAAUUUUUGUUAAGUAUAAUGAAAUGCCUAAUGCAUUAAAAAAAAUUAUUAGGACGAAUUAUUUUUACUAGUAUUUUAAUUUUCUCUUGUUUAUUAUGGAUUUGCCUUCAUUGUUUGGCAGGUGAUUAUUUUCUUGAGGAUAUUUAUUUUUAUUUUUCAUUGUUCUUUGUCCCACACAUCAAUAUUUAUCACGUGAUUAAUAUUAUUGUUAGAUUUUUUCAACAAAAAGUCAUGUUUUGAUUGAACCUUUCAAUUUUACAACAAGUAGCAUCCACCGUGGGAAAAUACACUACUACAAAAUAUACCUUUCUUAACACCAUAUUACCAAGGCCGUUUAAGCAACCGUUGUAAUAACUUAUCUUAACGCACCUGAAUUUUUUUAUAUUUUAUUCAAAGACAUUUCUUCACGGUUCAUAAUAACAACUGUGGUUAUAGAUGAAAGGUUACGUGCUUUGAAUCCCAGCACAAACAAUUUUUUUAUCAUUACAAAAAGAGUUUGUCCAUAUCGUCUUAUAAAUAUAUUAAAAUUAAAAUAUCUAUCACCCUGGUUAGUACCAGAAACCAUUGUGGAUAGUACUGACAGUUUAUCAUGGUUUUUCUUGCCAACGACGGUGAUAAGUUUUACAUAUAUAUAUAAGCAAAGUUAUAAAAUUCAGUCCUCUCGCUCAAAUUACAAAAUCCUAAUCUCUCUCUCUCUCUCUCUUCCACAUCCUGCGAAAUAGUCUCUCUUCUUCUUCCAUACAACUUGUCUUUCUUCUUCUUCGUACUAAAAGGUAAUCAAAUUAAACGUUGUUUCUUCUUUAUCUAAGUAUUUAAACGUUGUUUCUUCUUCUUCUAAAAGGUAAACAUGUUAUUCACGACAGAGCUACAUACACAACUAUGUAGGCCUAUGACCCACUAGAAUUAAAAAUUUAAUUAUAAUAUACUACCCAUGUGGUAAUAGUAAUGAUGGUGUAUAUUGCAUUAAAUACUUAGUUCAUUUCAAAAUUUAGUCCAAAAUAGUCUCUAGUAUUUUUGAUAAAAAAAAUUUAAUAGUCUGGAUAUUAUUAUCUUAUCUUUUUAAUUCUAUAUUUUUAGAAUUAAAGAAAAAUUAAUAAUCUAUGAACUAUCAAUUGAUUGGCGAGGAUAAAAUAUGUUAUAUAAUUAUAAGUAGAAAAUUAAGAAACCAUUAAUAAUUUUAAAUCAUUAAAAAAAAUUAAAAAAACAAAAUAAUAUUUAUUUAUAAAUAAUAUAUUAUACUUUUCUCGUAAUAAAUUUAUAAAUUUGCCCACACUAUUUAGAAUUCCUGGCUCCAUCCCUAGUUAUUCACACGUUUUCUUCCAUUUAGGUUUCACAUGAUUUUUUCGUAUUUUUUUAUACUUGGAUCUCUGUUUUUGAAAUUCUCAAUUCGUGUUACUGUUUUUAUUAUAUUGUUGUCUUAAUGGUUUUAACAAGUCGGAUCAAUUGUCCCAACUCUGUGUCCAACAUCUGUCCUAUGAGAAACAAAAUUUCACAUUUGAUACUUUCUCUCUAAGAUAAUGGAACCUCAUCUCAUUGUGUUUUCUUCUUCCGUAUCAUAUUGAUUCUUGGACAAAUUUAUAGCAGAAAUGUUAUCAAUCUUCAUGAUUACUGCUUCAUGAUUUUGACCUACAAUCUCUUUGAUCAAAUUUAUCAUUCAUGUUGCUUGACAUGCACAAAGAAAGGAAACUAUGUAAUCAGUCUCACAUGAUGACAAAGCUACAACUGGUUCUUUUCAUGAGCUCUAAGCAACUGGUGCACCACAUAGCAUAAACAUAUUUUCUAUCAUCAGCAUCACCAUACCAACACGGGUCAGUGUAUCCCACUAGCUUGCAUUCCUUUUCUUUUUAACAAUUUUUUUGAAGAAGUCAUUCUUAACACCUAGAUUUUAUUUUUAUUUUUCUUUAUUUUGACCAAUUUCUCUAGUACCCCAAUCCCAAGUAUAAAUGUUGAUAACUUACAAGAGCAACCCCAAAUUUAUUCUUUUGAAUUCUAUUAAUUGAUUGAUGAUUGUAUAUCAUGAAUCAUGGAUAUGAGAUAUUAAGGCUUUACAUUAGUUUAAAUUUAAUGAGUGUUUUAUACUUAUAGUUAUUGACUUUCUUAAAAUAAUAUAAUAUCUAAGAGGAAUACCAAAAUACUCUUGAUUUAUUUAUUCAUAGUAGAAAAGUGGAGAUAUAAUUAUAGUUAUAAGAUAACAUUGUUUUAUUCAUUGCUCCCUGUGAGAUAUAUCUCUUGAUAGCAUACAUACAUAGUAUAACUCUUGAUUUAUUUAUUCAUAGUAGAAAAGUGGAGAUAUAAUUAUAGUUAUAAGAUAACAUUGUUUUAUUCAUUGCUCCCUGUGAGAUAUAUCUCUUGAUAGCAUACAUACAUAGUAUUUUGUCCACUCAUUAAGAAGCAUUUCAAACUGAAGAUAGACGGUCUCUUGUUUCACGACUUCCUAUCUCCCUUUGUUGAGGUUGAGCAUCUGCAAAGUGAGAUUGUUUCUGAUUCUCUAGUAUCCUAUCAACCUCUUGAGCUGAUCCAGGGAAUGCAAGCUCUUUCACUGGCCGCUGUAUCUGACUAAUCACAUUAUCCUUAUCGCCUUCAAAUUUUCAAUCACCAAAAUAAUAAGCAUAUCUUAAUAUUUUCCCCCUUGAUUUAAAUAGAAAUUGACUUUUAAAAUACACACUUAAAAUGAAUAAAUAGUGACAGAGACUGGGUGAUAAUAUAAUAUACCUGCAAGAAAGUUCCUUUGAUUGUUCUCAGCAUUAAUACCAAACCCAAACAAAUCAAGAUUUGAGGAAGCUUUUACGGAAACUGGAUGGCCUGCUGGAAUUACAAAAACAUCUCCUGAAGACAAUUUAGCUUUGUAAUUUUGCACUUGUUUAUUUAUCUCCUCUUCUCCUUGUUCCUCUUCCUCGUCAUCUUCUUUUGUCUGCUCUUGUUGGUUUUCAUUUCUUUGACCCACAAGUUCAAAAUCUCCUUUUCCUUCGUUAACUGUUACUAUUACUAUGGCCCUUGAAUUGUAGUGUGGCAACAAUAGAGAUCCCUAAUAUUUAAUUUGAAAGAAUAAUUAAAUAAAUACGUUAGAUAUAUGUUCUAUAAAUAAAACAUGUUAUUGAGCAUGUAAAACUUGUUGUGUAUGAGAUGUCAAGUUAGUAACAAAAGUUUGACAUUAUAACUUCAAAGGACAAAAAUCAAAUCAUUUAGAACAAUUGUAAUUUGAUCAAGUGGAAUCUCAUUGUGUAAUUUGGUGAAUUUCCUAUAUUAUAAAAUAAUUUUAUCAUACCUCCUUAAUCUCUACAGAAUUGACAAAUAUAUCCAAGUCUUGAAGCUGUGGAUUUUCCUCUGGGGUGAUUUCAAAGAAUUUUCCAAACUCGUUGGAAUAGAUAGGACCGCGACUUCUCAAGUUGAAUGGUUCAGAUUCAGAGGAAACACUUUUUUUGGAGGUAGACUUUGCAUUUUUAACUCAAUUCCUCAUUUGUCCCUGAUAAUUUUACUAUUACAUUCUCUGCUUGACUUUGCUGCCUCUUUAUCCUUAAGGCUUCUUCUGUGUUGUGUCUCUUUCUCAUGCUCUUCUAAAAGAACCUUUUCUAUCUCUUCAUAAUCAGUCUAUAUUUUUUUACAGUACAUACAUUGACAAAGUGAGUAUUAACAUAUAUAAAACCAAACUAAUACAUAAAAAAAUGAAAAAAAUUGUGUGUUUUAUGCUUACAUUGAAGGAAGCCUCUAGAAUGUUCUUACUGAACCCAGAUAAGUAGGAUUGUUGGUUUUGAUUUCCAGACAAUAAGAAAGACUGUUGAAAAGGACAAAAAAAUGAGGAAAACAUUACAGAAAAAUAUGUACAGUCACAAUUUUUGUUGUGAUGUUAUGGUAGAGGCCCCUAAAUUUGUUUAUACAUUUGAGUGCAUACCAUAUUUGAUAUGAGAAGAUAUGAGAAUAGGUAAACAUUGGUUAUAUUACCUGAAGUUGGCCAGGUCUAUUUACGGGAAUGGCGAGAUCUAAUACUCUAAGCUCCUCGUUGUCAUCUCUGUUAACCAAAUAAGCAAUUGUGCCAGCAGGAAGUUUUACCGUAUCUCCGCGCUCAAGGUUGAAGGAGUUUCUGUCAUCGGGUUUCAACACUGUGAGUAUAGCUUUUCCUGGAAAUUACAAUGACAUUAGAUUUUAUAAAUGAAUUUAAUUUAUCCUUACAAAACAAAUAUGUAAAGUAAUAAGAGAAAUGCUAAUAAUACUCUCUUUUCAACACUCUCUCAAACACACACUCUUUCAUUUGUUGAAAUAUGUGUGGAUCUUACCACUUUAUGUGGGACCUAUUUCCAAAGCGAGGGGCCCACACAUGCUUCAACCAAUAAAAAAGUGAGUGUUUGAGAGAGUGUUGAAAAGAGAGUGUUACUAGCACUCCUCAAAAUAAUAAAUACCGUUCUUUUUGAAUGAACUAUGAGUGAUUAGUUUUAAAUAUUUAACUUGAUAAAUAAUAAAUUACCACUGAGUACAACAAGGAUGUAAUCGGCAUCGGUGUGCUGCGGAAGAAAUAUUGUGUGAGGUUUGGACUUAUAUUCCAAAAGACGGUAGUUUUGUAGAUUCUCGAACGAGAAGACAUGUUUGGACUGUAUAUUCCAAAAGGACGGUAGUUUUUGUAGAUUCUCGAAAAUUUUA